GAAAAAAAUGAAUCAUGCUGGAAAAAUGAAGCAAGCAAUGGCGCACCCAUGGGUGAACUUGUUUUUCAAGGCAGCACUCGAUGACAUGCACCCCCUGGGAGCCUGUCACUUCCAAAACAGUCAUCCACUCAGCAGUACUUUGCCCAAGCAAGUCCGAAAUAGCACAAGCAGGUCUGACAUGUUCUACCACCACCACCUCCUGAUGAGGACGAACACCCUUGGCCGUAUCUAAUAUAAAUGUUUUAUUUUCUCAGAAUGAAGGAUUCAUCCUACAGGAUGAAAUGUAUGUUAUGUUUACUUAAAGUCCAGGAAAUACUAGCGUUCGAGAACUCGCGGGUGAAUCUAAAAUCGAAUCUAAAAAAAACACAUUGAGGUAAGCCUACUGUUAGCUUGCCAGCUAGCUAGAAUAAUGUUAGCAUGCUAGCUAACAUUAGCUAACCUAGCUAGCUAGCCCACGUUUACUAAUGCAACAAGCAGUGUUAGUUGAUGCUAGUUAAUCCUAUUCCUAAAUAGUUCACUAGCUAGUAGCUACCUACUUUAACUGGCUAAAAUGUGCCCAGAUUUGGAAGCUUUGUUAGCUAAUGCAAUCUAAAUAAACUAAUGUUCGCUAACUAGCCAGCGUAGUAGUUUCCGUAUCUGGGCACAUUUUAGUCAGUUAACGUUAGUCUAGCCAAAUACCUUUUCUCUAAACACCCAUGGUGAAGCUAGCUAGCUAACAUUAACAUUUUAUUCAUUGUGUUAAUUGAUAAAUUUGUUCUUCUUACCUAGCUAAUUAAUGUAGACUUAAGGUAUUGACAUAACCUACCAACUAGAUGAAUGAACAUUUUUGCAUGUUUACAAUUAACAUUGUAAAAUGAAAUGGUGGUCACAAACUCUCACUUAAAUAAUGUUGUUUAUACAUUUAAAAUUAGGAUCUGUGAGGUUCUAUGUUAUGCACUAUAGCCCGUUACCAUAUCAUAUGUGAUUGAAUAUUAUCUGCUGUUGGCUUGUGUGGGUGUAUGUGUUAUGCAACAUAGCUGACUUGAGACAUUGUUAACAGUUUCAGGGCCAUGGGCCUUUCUCGUGAUGGAAAAAUACAGAAUAACAUAAAAACGGACACAUACAGAAUGUAAUGUAGGGAACAAACAGUAUUUUGUUAGAUAACAGGAGCCAGGUGUGUGAUAACUGUAUUGAGUGCAUGAGCGCAUAGAUGUUCUACACAACUACAACGACUGACCGCCGAAGCGCCUAGGGGGCUGGGACCAGCUCGUGCACCAACAAUCAACGAUAGGCUGAGUGAGUUUAAACCACACCCAGUCUCUACUCUGACAGGCCGGCUCUGAAGCAGGAACUACUUCUGUCAGAGUAUAUUAUAAUAACUUUGUUAGGAACAACUCCGUUCUCUGUUCUACCCUGCGUGGUGUUACAGCAGACCCGUAUAUACGAAAAUUGCAUUUACCACUUAUUGCUUAGCUAAUAAAAAGUACAUAGUAUACAAUCGGUGACUCAAUGUCAUAUUUAUCCUGAUACCAGAUUCGAUUGACGCAAUCCUUAACAGAUCCUAUACCUUAAGUAUUGUGAGGAAGCUGUGGUGAAGUAUGUGGUCCAAGGGCUCCAAACAUUCACUGUUGUAGAAUAAGAAACGUUCAGAGAGUUUGUCCAGGAUCUGCAGCCUAACUCAAAGAUCAUAUCAAGACCCAAUGCGCUCCAGUAUUGAUGAAACCUCCAAGAAAAUAAAGUGACUGAGGCCAUGACAAGUUGAUCACAUCGCCACCACCACCGACUGCUGAUCUGCAAGAAGACAGAAAUGCAUUGGUGUUACAGCCCAUUGGAUAGACCCUGAAAGUCUCAACAGAUGCUCUGCAGCCCUGGCCUGUAAACGGUUGAGAGGCCCGCACACCUUUGUUGGCAGGCGCCAUAAAUUACAUAAAUUCUCAGUUAUUAAUCCGGGGUAAGAUUGUGAGAACAACAGACCACGGCUUUAACUUCUUGAAAGCUUUCCAAGUUUUUGGAGAAGAUGAAAAUAACGAUGCAGUCGAUGUAGUGGGUGGUGGUGGUGAAGCAGCUCAGCCAGGACAGGAAGAUGAUGAAGUGGAGGAACAAGAGGAGAGUGAAGAAGUGGAGUUGGUUUAUGUGGCAACGAUCCUGAAUGAAGAUGAUAGUUUUAAGUACCAGCUGCCGAAGCACCAGCGUUGUGUUAGACACCUACUCAACUUAGUAUCUACAGUCGAUGCCCUGAAAGCAUACAAAAAAAAGUGUCCCGUUCAACAUUUGGCAAGUGCCAAGCACUUUGGAACAAAUGAGGAAGAUCCACACUUGCAGCCGAAACGUUUGAAGAUGCUUGGGACCUCCAGCUGCUGCGCCCGAAUGCUAUAAGGUGAACCUCCUGGUUCAUGGCUGUAGAAAGGCUCUUGUGGAUCAUCAAAGACAAAGAGAGGCUGCCGUCAGAGUUCUCCGCACAGACAUUGAGGUUUGAAUGUAAGUAAGGAUUAUGUAUUCUUUUAUCAUAAUUUAAGGUCUUGAAUGUUGUCUAAAUCUGUUGCCGUAUUUCCUGAUCCUUUGCUUUGGGACUAAUAACUGUUUGACAUAUUGUAGCCAUACACUACACAGUAAAUCACCCAUGUUAAAUUCACUGUAUAAAAAGUGAUCAACUCCCAUAGAGUUGUUUAAGCAACUGGCAGUGCCAAAUGACCCCUAGCGUCAGUGCUGAUAACUGGUGUUAAUUGCUAAGGUAUACAAUUUUACUCUAUUAGUGUAGACUUUUACUCAGUAAGUGUAAACAUCAUCACAACCCCGCCCAGUUUCUGAGUUCAAAUUUCCUCUUUUCUCGACACCAUUGUUGGAUCAACAAAAUCCUAAUUUGUUCCACGCAAAAGUGAAUUUUAAACAAUUAUUUCACUAAUAUUAUUAAGCUAUUUUAAUUUAAAUACUUGAUACUUGUUUGUCAGAGUGCAGUGUUACAUAAAAAGUAACAGUUUUGAUUGUGUGUGCAGCUAAUGUUAGAGUUACUUGCGUUUCACUUUUUGCACGUCUUUACUAGAUAGCUAGCAUGCUAGCUAACUAGCUCGCCCCUGUCCUGUGCAGUUAGUCUGCUCCACGUGGUGGUUCCAUGGGCGCGUGUCUCAUUUCAGCACCAGGCUUUUUUAGCCCCAUGCUAGUUUGUUCUCUUUAUUUCAGCUGCUUAUUAUAUAUUUAGGACUAAUCUGAUUCAAGGUGAGUUGUUUAUUUAGCCAAAUUGUUACUGCAUUUUCGACUUGUGGGUGAUGCUUAUAGAUAAAUAUUGUGACCAUUGCAUCGACAGCUAGCUAGACUUAACUAACUGCAUUUCCCACUUGCUUUAUGACCAGUUAAUUUUGGCCGUCUUGUAAGACUGCUCCUAGAACAUGACAACAUAAUAUAGUGACUAGCUGGAAUUAUGAGUGCAUUUUACUGGACUAAUUAGGCCAUCCAUAUUUUGGGACAGUGAAUGUGAGUUGAGUAGUCUGUUUGCUGUAGUUUUGGACCUGCUUUAAGUCAUAUCAGACAAGUUGUGGUCAUGAUCCAAUAUUUUCAUAAUACACUUUGAAAUUAGCAUUGCUAAGUAAAGGAGUAUUGGUGAAAACAUUUGUAGUUAUCCUGAUAUAAUGUGUCAUGAUUUAAAUACAAAUACAAUGCCUUUUCAUCCAUUUUGGCCUUAUCUCGUACCAUUAACUGCUUUCAGACCUAGUUUUCAUGCUGAUCAGGGUGAAAUUCAGUGGUGAACAAAAAUAUGUCAAGAUCAUUGACCUGACACUUGAACAUCUUUUGAUUUGAGGUCAACUUUAAGUUUGUGAUUGGAAAUAAAUGUAUUGUGUUCAUAGAUUUACAAGUCAGUCUGAUUACUCUCUUGCUAUUACAAUUGUAAUUGUAGGUUGUUGUUUUAAUGUUUGUCACAGCUUUCCUGAAAUUUGUGACCCCACUUACUAGUUUAUCAGAGGCAAAGCUGUAUGAUGGGUCUGGAACUGAAGAUGAUGGGUAUGUGUUUGAGGAGGUGGUGAAAUGGCCAGAUCUUGGUGUUUCCAAUCUCACACUAAACAAUGAUGCUAAAGGCAUGUGCUGGUUUUCAAGUAUUGGUUACUUGUGGCAUCAAUUUCAAUAUAACCAUACAUUUGACAUGUAUUGUUUUGUCAUCCUGUAUUUAAGAAUCUUCCCUGAUGAGUCAUGCCUCUGCCAGUUCUAUGAUGGGUGGUUCAGGCCAUGAGUCGGAUGAUACAAUAAUGGAUGAUACAAAAAUUUUGAGCGAGGAUGGAAGCCCCUCGCGAAAGCAUCAAAGAUCUGAUGACGAAACAAAAAAUCUAAUAGAGAGCAAACUGAAGAAAAAGUCUGGUGGAGAGGUUGUCAUCAAGGAAAACUCCAAAACUAACUAAACUGACUGCACCAGACGAAAGAUGAUCAACAUUCUUGUUUUGGAGAUGACAGACUCUUACGCUGACUGGGGACCAAAGCUGCUUGUGGAGAUUCUGAUUGCCACCUAGAUAUAACAUUAUAGGAUUGUCAGGACAUCACCAUUGCGCAGUGUGAGAGAAACAAUUGCAUAAGACAUAGUCUCCUUGUUCCCAUACCAGAAAGAUCCCUACACCGCAAAUGGAUAUGUAAGUAUACAUUACAACUGAUAAAGGGCAUCUGUGUUUAAUUAGUCUGGUAUGGUAUCUGAGCAAAUGGGACUUGGUUAUUUGUUUUUUCUUUCAAGAUUAGUAACCAUAUUCAUUUUCUUAAGGAACAUUAUUACGACCCUAAUAGUGGAGAAGUGUACCUCUCGUAUAGAAUCCAAACCAUUCAGAGGAAUUUGGCUUCAUCUGAGAAACGGCCCACUCAACUAUACUAUGGAGGGCCAACUGCUGAAAGGGAGUCCAGUCCAUACACUUUGGAUGGACCGGUGCAGAGAGGCCAUUUCUCUUAUGAAAAAUUAUUCUAAUGAAGAAACAGUCAAACUUGAAAUUAACCUUCGAGUACAGGAAGAUGACCCACGACCUGAGUAAAUGUUCCACCAUCCUAACCAAAUUUCCACGCUUUCUGGAUGUGAAGGGCUUGGUAAAAAACAAUGUUUUUAUGUUUUAAGUUGUAUAAAUUUUGUUUAAUUUCCAGAUGCCAAUUUUUUGCCCGCUUUGAGGACAAUACAGUGCCACUGACACGGCCUGCAACGGAAACAUGCGGUCUCUCCAUCACUGCAGCCGAGAUUGAACAGGAUUUUGUGCUGCUGUUUUUUGAGGGAACAUCAGCCAAGUUUUUGGAGAGGUGGCCAACUACAAUCAAGCACGAAUGCGGAUGGUUAGAUGAUCAUCACUUGUCAUUUACACUACCGUUCAAAAGUUUGGAGUCACUUGGAAAUGUCCUUGUUUUUGAAAGAAAAGCACAUUUUUUGUCCAAUAA